AGAGUUUGAUCCUGGCUCAGAACGAACGCUGGUGGCGUGUCUUAUACAUGCAAGUCGAGCGGUGCAGCAAUGCAUAGCGGCGAACGGGUGAGUAACGCGUAAGCAAUCUGCCCCAUGCCCGGGAAUAGCCGUGCCAACGCGCGGGUAAUACCGGAUAUAGUGGCUCCCUGCAUAGGGAGUUGACGAAAGAUUUAUCGGCAUGGGAUGAGCUUGCGUCCGAUUAGCUAGUUGGCGGGGCAACGGCCCACCAAGGCGACGAUCGGUAGCCGGCCUGAGAGGGUGAUCGGCCACAUUGGAACUGAGACACGGCCCAGACUCCUACGGGAGGCAGCAGCUAAGAAUCUUCCACAAUGGACGAAAGUCUGAUGGAGCGACGCCGCGUGAACGAUGAAGGCCGUAAGGUUGUAAAGUUCUUUUUGGAAGGAAGAAUAAGCUUGGCAGGGAAUGGCCGAGUGAUGACGUGAAUUCCAGAAUAAGCCCCGGCUAACUACGUGCCAGCAGCCGCGGUAACACGUAGGGGGCGAGCGUUGUUCGGAAUUAUUGGGCGUAAAGGGCACGCAGGCGGCUUGGCAAGUCUGAUGUAAAAAUUCAGGGCUCAACCCUGUCUGGCGUUGGAAACUGCUGAGCUUGAGUACAGGAGGGGAUAUUGGAAUUCCAGGUGUAGGGGUGAAAUCUGUAGAUAUCUGGAAGAACACCAAUGGCGAAGGCAGGCAUCUGGCGACUGACUGACGCUGAGGCACGAAGGUGCGGGGAGCAAACAGGUUUAGAUACCCUGGUAGUCCGCACAGUAAACGAUGUGCACCAGGUGGCGGGCAGCAGUGCUCGGUACCGAAGCAAACGCAUUAAGUGCACCGCCUGGGGAGUAUGCUCGCAAGGGUGAAACUCAAAGGAAUUGACGGGGGCCCGCACAAGCGGUGGAGCAUGUGGUUUAAUUCGACGAUACGCGAGAAACCUUACCAGGGCUUGACAUACACCGGGAUGUGGUGGAAACACCACAGCUGCUUGCAGUCGGUGUACAGGUGCUGCAUGGCUGUCGUCAGCUCGUGCUGUGAAGUGUUGGGUUAAGUCCCGCAACGAGCGCAACCCCUGCCUUCUGUUACCAGCAUGCAAUGAUGGGGACUCAGAAGGAACUGCCGGUGACAAACCGGAGGAGGGUGGGGACGACGUCAAGUCAUCAUGGCCCUUACGUCCUGGGCCACACACGUGCUACAAUGGCCGGUACAGAGUGCUGCGAAUCCGGAAGGAGGAGCGAAUCACAAAAAGCCGGUCUCAGUACGGACUGGAGUCUGCAACCCGACUCCACGAAGUUGGAAUCGCUAGUAAUCUCGCAUCAGCAUGGCGAGGUGAAUACGUUCCCGGGCCUUGCACACACAGCCCGUCA
rnacentral:rRNA from 1 species